CCAUGGCCACGACCACAGCGUUCCCCCAUCCCGAGAGAUCCUAAAUGCCGCUCCGUGGCAACCUCCGUGAAUUCGCAGGCUUCCACCUCGCUCAGAGUUCUCCUUCGAAGGAGGCACUGGAGACCCUCAUUCAACCCGUUAAUGCCCUGCGGACUUUGGGGGGCGUACAUUUACUGAGAAGUGCUGAGGAUUGAACCCAGGGCCUCAGGCAUGCUCAGGGUGCACUCUGCCACUAAGCUAUACCACCAGUCUUCUGGAUUUGAGCUAGCUGUGAUGCCUAUGUUUGAGUCGACCUUUGUCCCAGAAAGUUCAGGGGACUCAGGUUGAAGCUCUGGGACGAAGACACCCUGAUGACACAUCUGU